AAUUUCUCCCUCUUUUCAAUCUUCAAAAGUUGCAAAUUUUGAUCAUUGAAAUAGGAAAGAAUUGGGCAGAUAAGAUACCUUUAAACAUUUGGAGGAUGCCGCAGUUAAGGACUCUACGCUUUAUGAAUUCAGGAUGGUUAUGUCCUCCGAUUAUGCCUAGUGGUGAAGAGAAGCAUGCGGUUUUAGAAAAACUGCAAACUAUAACUGGUGUUGGUCCUGCAUGGUGUCAAAAGGAAAUUUUUGCAUUAAUGCCUAACUUGAAGAACUUGGAAAUCGUGUUGAAAGGAGUUGCUCAUGAAUUGUGGAUAGGUAUUUCCUGUUUGCCUCUAAUUGAGGUACUUAGAAUUAUAGUUGGAAAAAUUGAUUAUACGGCCUUUUCCGGUACCGAUCAAAAGCACAUGAUGCUUUUUUGAAAUAUAAAAGCACUUUUCCACCAACCCUUAGAAGGUUGACAUUAGGCGGGACAUGUCUUCCUUGGGAGGCUAUGGACAUUGUUGGCAUGUUGCCUAACCUCGAGAUACUCGAACUGGAAGACGAUGCCUGCGGAGUUAAACCUAAGACCACAUGGAAACCUUCCGAAGGAGGGUUUCCUAGAUUAAAGUUCUUGUCACUAUGUCAUAUGCUUUGUUUCACAGAGUGGAAGGCUACCGAAUAUCAUUUUCCUGUCUUGGAGAGACUCUUUAUAUCUCAUUGUCCGCAGCUAGAAGAGAUCCCACAAGAGUUUGCAAAUAUUUUUACACUUCAAUUGAUCGAGUUACAUGACUGUUGUAUUCACCUGGCCAUAUCAGCACAGCAGAUUGAACAAGAGCAAGAAGCCACUUUUGGAAGCCAAGUGACAUAUGUCCACACAUACAAUUGUGGACAAGGUAAGAUUGACAAAUAGAACAUAUCACCAUGCUUUCUUGUGAGUGUUAAAAUAUUUCUUUCUUCUGCGUUGGAUCAACUUCAUGACUAAUGUGUUAAAAGAGCUAUUGACUGAAUUGAAGGAAGAAGAGAAAAGGGAGAGGAGAGGGGGCAAAAUUUAAAAUAAUAAAACUUCUGAACAUAUUUUGACUAAACAAACUACACUAAAGCUUUCUAAUCCUUUCAUUUCUCUUGUGGCCAUUUCAAACACUAAAAUUAGAUGCACAUUGCUUAGUCUCCUGCACUCCUCUCUUUUCUUUAAUUUGACAAUUCGAGUACAAUAAAAGUUUUUUAAUAUGGUUGAGGAAAUAUUAGUACGACCUUUUUUUAAUUUGACAUUUCAAAACACUUGUGUUAUUUGAAUUGCACUGAAUUCUUACAGUAACUUUGAUACAUUUGUCAUACCUACAUCAACUUUUAUGCAAAUAUAGAGAAUGAUUUAACAAAGAAAAAGCUGGAAAUAUAUUGGCUUUGAACUUGUUUAUUACCAGAACUUUUUAUUAAGACUUGGCUUUUAUAGUUAUCCCAAUAUAUGCGUGAAGAUUGUACUUUUAACUGUAAUUUGAUGGUUAAGAUGCUAAUAUUUAUACUUUUCUUUUUAAUAGCUUACUGCCGCCAAUGUCAUCAUUUACUGAAGAGAAACUCUAGCUGACUGAUGAAGGUAGUUGCAAAGAUAUUUCAUCACACUUCUUUUAGAGCUUUCUAUUUUUCUUGAGCACAGUGUUAAGAAAUUAAGAUCCUUAUGCAUUUGGUUGUGUUUUUAUUUCUUGCUUUUCGUUUUCAAUAUGCAUUUGGUUGUGUUUUUAUUUCUUGCUUUUCAUUUUCAAUCGUCACUUUUUAAUUUGAAAAUAAUGUUUGAACAAAAAUACCCCUGCUUAACACACUAUGAUGGAGUUUGCAAAUUCCAAGCAGUGAAAUAUGAACUACUGAAAGUGUGUCAUGAACUCUAGAUUUUAUUAUUUCUAUAUUCCAGUUGUUUCAGCAGUAAAUAGCACAAAAUUUAUAGUCAAGGUAAUUUUAGAAAAUUGAGAGCAUUCAAAUCAAAUUUGGUUGCUUCACCUGUUUUCUUUCUCUCGCCGGCGACGGAACUGGAAAGCCAACGUUAAGACGUGACGGCAAACUCCGGUAGCGCUCAACGCUCUCUGAAAAGAACUUUCCCGAUGGCUCGACGGAACCCUAACUUCAAUGCUUCUGCAUUCCAAAUUGUGAAAAUUAACCCUCCUUUUCAAUUUCUGGAGUUUAAACUUCGGCACAAAAUUAAACUCCGAGAACAAUUUUUGGAGUUCGAACUAAUAAAAAUUUAAAUUCCAUGAAUUGUUUCUGGAGUUCACAACUGAAACUUCAAAAAUAAUUCAUUGAGUUUGAAGUGAGCCGUUAAGGUAUUUUUAUUUAAAACUAUUUUCAUGUCAAAAAGCUUUCAAAAUAGUGACUAAUGUUUGAUAGCAAGAAAUUGCUAUUUGCUCAUUUUUCCGUCUAUUUAUACAUAUAAGUAAUGUUAUCACCGAUUUUCUUUUCCUAAAGAUCAAGAAAAAGGAAGCUUAAUUUGU
rnacentral:lncRNA from 1 species